rnacentral:rRNA from 1 species
AGCUCGUGCCGUGAGGUGUUGGUUAGUCCGCAACGAGCGCAACCCUCAUUGUUAGUUACUACCAUUCAGUUGAGGACUCUAAUGAGACUGCCAACGACAAGUUGGAGGAAGGUGGGGAUGACGUCAAAUCAUCAUGCCCUUUAUGACCUGGGCUACAAACGUACUACAAUGGCCAAUACAAAGAGAUGCGAAGCGGUGACGUGGAGCGAACCUCAGAAAGUUGGUCUCAGUUCAGAUUGAAGUCUGCAACUCGACUUCAUGAAGGCGGAAUCGCUAGUAAUCGCGGGUCAGCAGACCGCGGUGAAUACGUUCCCGGGUUUU